GACGAACGCUGGCGGCGUGCCUAAUACAUGCAAGUAGAACGCUGAAGAGAGGAGCUUGCUCUUCUUGGAUGAGUUGCGAACGGGUGAGUAACGCGUAGGUAACCUGCCUUGUAGCGAGGGAUAACUAUUGGAAACGAUAGCUAAUACCGCAUAACAAUGGAUGACCCAUGUCAUUUAUUUGAAAGGGGCAAAUGCUCCACUACAAGAUGGACCUGCGUUGUAUUAGCUAGUAGGUGAGGUAACGGCUCACCUAGGCGACGAUACAUAGCCGACCUGAGAGGGUGAUCGGCCACACUGGGACUGAGACACGGCCCAGACUCCUACGGGAGGCAGCAGUAGGGAAUCUUCGGCAAUGGGGGCAACCCUGACCGAGCAACGCCGCGUGAGUGAAGAAGGUUUUCGGAUCGUAAAGCUCUGUUGUAAGUCAAGAACGAGUGUGAGAGUGGAAAGUUCACACUGUGACGGUAGCUUACCAGAAAGGGACGGCUAACUACGUGCCAGCAGCCGCGGUAAUACGUAGGUCCCGAGCGUUGUCCGGAUUUAUUGGGCGUAAAGCGAGCGCAGGCGGUUUGAUAAGUCUGAAGUUAAAGGCUGUGGCUCAACCAUAGUUCGCUUUGGAAACUGUCAAACUUGAGUGCAGAAGGGGAGAGUGGAAUUCCAUGUGUAGCGGUGAAAUGCGUAGAUAUAUGGAGGAACACCGGUGGCGAAAGCGGCUCUCUGGUCUGUAACUGACGCUAAGGCUCGAAAGCGUGGGGAGCGAACAGGAUUAGAUACCCUGGUAGUCCACGCCGUAAACGAUGAGUGCUAGGUGUUGGAUCCUUUCCGGGAUUCAGUGCCGCAGCUAACGCAUUAAGCACUCCGCCUGGGGAGUACGACCGCAAGGUUGAAACUCAAAGGAAUUGACGGGGGCCCGCACAAGCGGUGGAGCAUGUGGUUUAAUUCGAAGCAACGCGAAGAACCUUACCAGGUCUUGACAUCCCGAUGCUAUUUCUAGAGAUAGAAAGUUACUUCGGUACAUCGGUGACAGGUGGUGCAUGGUUGUCGUCAGCUCGUGUCGUGAGAUGUUGGGUUAAGUCCCGCAACGAGCGCAACCCCUAUUGUUAGUUGCCAUCAUUCAGUUGGGCACUCUAGCGAGACUGCCGGUAAUAAACCGGAGGAAGGUGGGGAUGACGUCAAAUCAUCAUGCCCCUUAUGACCUGGGCUACACACGUGCUACAAUGGUUGGUACAACGAGUUGCGAGUCGGUGACGGCAAGCUAAUCUCUUAAAGCCAAUCUCAGUUCGGAUUGUAGGCUGCAACUCGCCUACAUGAAGUCGGAAUCGCUAGUAAUCGCGGAUCAGCACGCCGCGGUGAAUACGUUCCCGGGCCU
rnacentral:rRNA from 1 species